rnacentral:rRNA from 1 species
UACGUAGGGUGCGAGCGUUGUCCGGAAUUAUUGGGCGUAAAGAGCUUGUAGGCGGUUUGUCGCGUCUGCUGUGAAAAUCCGGGGCUCAACCCUCGAAUGCCGGUGGAUACUGUCGGGCUAGAGUGCGGGAGAGGCGAGUGGAAUCCUGGUGUAGCGGUGAAAUGCGCAGAUAUCAGGAGGAACACCAAUUGCGAAGGCAGCUCGCUGGAACGUAACUGACGCUGAGACGCGAAAGCGUGGGGAGCAAACAGG